rnacentral:rRNA from 1 species
GACGGAGGUGGCGAGCGUUACUCGGAUUCACUGGGCUUAGAGCGGGUGUAGGCGGCCAUGCAAGUCUGGAGUGAAAUCCCCCGGCUCAACCGGGGAACUGCUUGGGAUACUGCAUGGCUUGAGGCAAGCAGGGGUCAGUGGAACGUUUGGUGUAGCGGUGAAAUGCGUAGAUAUCAAACGGAACGCCGGUGGUGAAGACGGCUGACUGGGCUUGUCCUGACGCUCAGACCCGAAAGCGUGGGGAGUGAACCGGAUUAGAUACCCGGGUAAUCCACGCCCUAAACGAUGCGCACUAGAUUCAGGAGCCUCUGACGGUUUCUGGGUCGAUGUGAAAACGUUAAGUGCGCCGCCUGGGGAGUACGGCCGCAAGGUUAAA